ACUCCUUCUGUGGAUAAACUAUGAUCUUCGCAUAAAUCUUAUCAGAUCCAAGUAGUUAAAACCGCAAAGCUUCCAUCAAGGGAUUCUUGGAUUUGCCAGUUGCUAACACUGUUAUUUUAUUUUUAGUAAUCUAUUUUGUUCGACGGAUGUCAGGGGGUGCCAUGGAAUGGGUCACCCAGCCCAAGCAGCCAUGGUUGAAACUAAAGGCUUAUGUUGGGUCAUCAAAGACCUUAUGAUUUAUCAAAAGAGGAAGAAGAAGAAGAAGAAGAAAAACCGUGUCGCCAUCUGGAAUAGGACUUGGCACCACAAUCCAUCUCGUUGACGUUGCAACUUAGGUCUGAU
rnacentral:lncRNA from 1 species